rnacentral:rRNA from 1 species
AUUGAACGCUGGCGGCAGGCCUAACACAUGCAAGUCGAGCGGAUGAAGGGAGCUUGCUCCUGGAUUCAGCGGCGGACGGGUGAGUAAUGCCUAGGAAUCUGCCUGGCAGUGGGGGAUAACGUCCGGAAACGGGCGCUAAUACCGCAUACGUCCUGAGGGAGAAAGUGGGGGAUCUUCGGACCUCACGCUAUCAGAUGAGCCUAGGUCGGAUUAGCUAGUUGGUGGGGUAAAGGCCUACCAAGGCGACGAUCCGUAACUGGUCUGAGAGGAUGAUCAGUCACACUGGAACUGAGGCACGGUCCAGACUCCUACGGGAGGCAGCAGUGGGGAAUAUUGGACAAUGGGCUAAAGCCUGAUCCAGCCAUGCCGCGUGUGUGAAGAAGGUCUUCGGAUUGUAAAGCACUUUAAGUUGGGAGGAAGGGCAGUAAGUUAAUACCUUGCUGUUUUGACGGUACCAACAGAAUAAGCACCGGCUAACUUCGUG